ACGUGUCCAGCCUCGACGCAAUACGACACAAAUCACAUUAUCUCCGUAUCGUUGGCUUGGACGCGCAACGACGCGGACAAAGGGGCGCCGACGAAGGAUUUUCACGGUAUUUCGAAUCAGCCUCGCUCCAUCUCUCUCAUCUAUGUUGACACUAUACUUACGGGUCUAUUUGGAUACGAAUACUUCUCUCAAGAAGAGUGGAAAUGCUGUAACUAGCACGAGAGCGACAUAUCGAGUUGUUGAAAUCUGACUCGAGAGACAUCUGAUUUAAGAGUUGCAGAAUACAAGGGAUACUUGUCUAGUCGGUGGUUCGACUCGAAGUGUCGUGAGAACAGAAGUUUCCGAGCUGCGCUGAUAAUCCGGCUGGAAAAACCGUAACGGGACAUGACUGGCAGCGUUUAUGACUUUGGGGUAGACGUGACUGCCUACAUCCAAAUAUCUGUAAGUGGUCAAUGCUACAUUCUACGUGAACUGCGAGCCAUGUGCCGGUAUAGCCUCCAUGGAAUUCAGCACCAUCCAGUUUCCAAGGU